AAAGUUUUAAUCAUCACAAUUGCCCACUGUCUCACUGGAUGAGGUAGGACAUCUCUAAAAGGAAGGAGAGCGCCCGGUUACUGUUUACAGAGCAUGAACUGUGCUGAGCUCUUUAUAACUAGUAACUGAAUAUCCACAGGUCAGACUUCCAGAUAUGGUGUACAGGAGCCACAGAGUUUUAACAGAGGUUACAGAGAUGUUAGAGCUGACCCAAAUCUUACCGGAUAACUGACCAGAUCUGUGACACUUGGUCACGUGGUCAUGCCUCUAACAAGUGCCACCUGACUUAAAAAAGAAAACCUACUCUUAAGGCUGGAGAGAGGGAUUAGCAACUAAGAAUUCUUGCUACUCUUACAGAAGACCUGAAUUUGGUUAUCUGCACCUACAUGGUUAUUUAAAACCAUCUGUGACUCCAGUUUGGGGGAAUCUCAUACCCUCUUCUGCCUUGGGCCACAAGGUAUGCAUACAAUUCACUUUUAUGCAUUCAGACAAAAAUUCACUCACAUAAAAUGAAAAUCUAUUAACUGUACUCAGAACCACUGGACUUAAAAGACCAAAUUACACAGUUGAUUUUUCUGGAAACAUAAUACCCUUUACAUGUAAGGAUUCUGGUUUUAUUUUAUUCCAGUUCUGCUAGCCACCAGGUAUGAUACGUGGAAAAGUUGCUAGACCUUCUGUACACCAAUUUUCUCAUAACUACACUUGGAAUAAUGAAAGUCCCUCACCUUGCUUAGUGUGAUCAUUAAAUGAAUUAAUGCAUGACAAGUGCUUAGAACUUCCCAGUUCUGUGUCCUAAGGGCUCAAAAUGUCUGUAACCAUUCUUAUGAUUUGUGCACAAACAUUUCCAUGUAGUAAUUUUGUUUUGUUUUGUUCUUUUUUAAAAUAAGGUUUCUCUGUGUAGUUUUGCUGUCCUGGAGCUCACUGUGUAAACCAGGAUGUCCUCAAACUCAAGAAGAUCAUUCUGCCUUUUGGCCUUCCUGUAAUAAUCUGACUGUUUUUAAGAAUAUCUUUUAUUUAUUAGAUAAUUUCACACAUGUAUACAGUGUGUCUUGAUCAUGUCUACUCCCAACUCUUAUGCUUUCUGGGCCCUCUGCAGCCUGUCACCUUCCUACCUCCAUUGUCUUUCUGUGUGUUUCUUUGUAACUCACUGAGUCCAAUUAGUGCUGGAAUGUUUGCUGAUCUUGUUGGCUUGAUCUUGAGCAGGUGACUCAGAAUACUCAAAUCCAGUCAGAAAGUGCUAGAUUACCCCCAUAAGCUCCAUGUCACUAUUGAACCAGUGAGCCUAAUUAUCAGACUCUGUUUCAGAAACAGUCUUAUGAAGGGCAUGAUUUGAUUUCUUAUUUAGUCUCCUUUUUCCUGAUCAUCCUGUCUUCCCAAGACUCCCUUAUUCAUAAUCUCUCUCUGAAAGUUUAAUUUAUUAGUCAUCACACCAUUUUCUACAGUCAUUCCCUUCAGUAAUUCCAGGUGGUGAGGGUAGAAUUUUCUAGAAGACUAAAUUUCCCUCUAUUCUUUUUUUUCAUGUUCUUUGUAGCUUUUAAAAAAACGUUGAUUUAGCUGGCAUUUUCACUUCAAAUGUAAAACAACAGAGGACAACAAACCUAGACACAUCACAAGAGCUGAGGUGUAAAGCUAGAGACCACAUAAAUGCUAUGAAAAAUCUGAGUAAAAUCAGAAUAUUAAGGAGCAUCUUGGGAAUUUCACCCUUUGGAUAGGAUUGAGGCUUAGAAAGUGAAACCUCUUGACUCAUUUCACAUGAAAGGUCUAUUUACUCUUUUGUGUCUUUUCCUGACUUAUUUAAUCCUUAAAUUAUGAUUUUUAACUUAGUCUACUUUGGACCCUUCUCCUAGCUAAGUCACAUACUUCUUAAGAGUAGACAUCCUAUGUACCUUAAAACCCUCACCCUAUAUUUGUUUAAUUUAAUAAAUAUUUUACUGGCCCGCUCAGAUGCUGUCAUCUUUGUUUGUGGGCUUAAGAGAUUUGGUUUCCCCAUCACCAAGGUAGGAUAUGGAAACCUAACCUUUACCUUGCCAGAAGGUCUCAUACAGAACUGAUGGAACAUGAGUGUGGAAGAGAGUCUUUUAAAACUAGAGCUUAUAAAUAUCUAUCAUAGUUGGGAGUUCACAGACAGUAAUCAGAAGUGCCAAGGUGCUGUGUACACUGAGGUUUGCCGGGAAACACUUGCAGUGCUUUUCCUAUUUGCAAAAAGAGAGAGACUUGAGCAUCUGCUCUCUGUUGUCUAUGACCUGCCUUCUAUUCUUGAGUUCUUAAAAUGUAAGUGAUAGAAUAGAGAAAGCCAAGUAUUUCUUAAACACAUUUCUUUACUCAUAUAAUAUCUAGCUAUUCCAUACCUGUUUAAGUAUGAAUUUGCUCAUUUCUGUGUUUCCUUAGACUGGCCCAAAUAGGAGCUGCUCUAAUGAUACACAGUGAAUAAUUGACGUCUCGGCUAAGGACACUGACUUUUCUAAUACUAACUUUAUACUUGUGUAGAAGUUUACAGAAGGGAGAAGUUAGGAGAGGGGAUAGACCAAUCAAGCAACACCAUCAGAAACAGGCACACAUUUUGCCUUCAGAACACUUUAGUUCAUGUGAAGAGGGGGAGGGGAACUCAUUCUCAGAAACUGACAAAAAUGUAAAAAGAGGUAAUGUGAAGAAGUGUGUAGAGGACUGGACAGAGUUCAUCACCAGCAUUGCCUUGAAGGAUAAUACCUCAGGUUUGAGAGAAAGAAAUACACCCUUUAUUUCAAAUACAACAAACUCGAGUGAAAAUAGUUGUGUUUCUUAAGUUGCAAGCUGGUUCUGAUUCUUAAAUUCAAGAGCUUGGUUCUGUUCCUGAGUCCAGUGAACAGGGUAUCAUUUGCCCUGAUCGAAUCACUUCUCUGCUUCUCUAAAACAUCUGCAAUUUGAAGAAAAUAAUGGCAACUCAUAACCUUGUCAUUCAUCUGUUUUGAAGUAUCUUUUUUAAAAGCCAAAAUAACCAUUUUUAAUUGUUGAAAUAUUUAUGUGAUUACUGUCUUAAGCAAUAGUCUUUAUUAAGCAUAUAGAGAAAUACGUUUGCUAAUCUUCCCCAGGACAAUUUCUGUUCUUUGCUAGGUGUAUGAUACAUUCUUUUCUGUCUUUACUCUGAGACAAAAAUGUUAACCAUAUCAGCCCUCUCAGAGCAAACACUAAACUCCUUCAGAACAAUGUGAAAACAUAAGUUAAAAGUGGGUCAGCAGUCCAGAUUGUGAGGUGGAAAAGCCACAGGCUACAUAACAGUUCAGUGUACCAUAGUGCCUGCCACCUUAUAGUGGUCUCACUGAUAUGUGACUCUGUGUGUGUGUGUGUGUGUGUGUGUGUGUGUGUGUGUGUGUGUGUGUGUGUGUGUUGACCGAUUUAUUCCUAGGAAUUAUUAAAUAGCUUGCUUUUUCAGAUGAUUGGCCUUCUCAAGCUUCCUUGCUUACAUUCUGACAUGCUUUUUGAGUGGUUGAAAAACACCUGCAACUUUGGUAGAGAAUGGGCCAGAGCUCUUCAGCUAUAACUGGAGGAGAAUAUCCCUGGAGGUUGGGGUGUUGCUUUCCUUUCCUUGGGUUAAUAUUGGAAACAGCCUAGCUUCAUCUCACGGAAGAGAUUGUUGGCCUGAGGCACCCAAAGACUUUAGACCCAGCUCCUUUCAGCCUUAGAUACUGCCUCUCCAUUUCCUGAAGUUACCAGAUUUUAUUACCGAUUUAAAUGCGAUCCUCCUCGAAACUUCAUUGUGUUUUUUUCUUGCUUGUAUUAAAAUUCACUCUGGACUAGUUCCUUUCUACAUUCCUUAGAUCCAUAAUAACCACAGUAAUAACCAGAAAAGACUUGGAAAACUGAGCAGCAUUUGAACUCAAGGCUACAGGGACUAGGGUGCUCUUAUCCUCUGUGCCAUAGCUCUUCCAAUACAGGCUAGACUCCUCCUCUCCCACAUUUCCUUUUUCCACACAUAUAAGACUGGAGCAGUCAUGGAAGACACUUGGGUUCUAGUGAUUCACUGUGUAGAAAUCUUCCCAGGACGAGACUAUGGAAUGGAAUCAAAGCUAAAAAACAGGAGUAGAAAGAGAAAAGAAUCUAGAUACCAGGGAAGAAGCAGAACUUGAAGCUAAAAUAUGAGUGAGUUUUACUGCCUUCAGGAAAAAAAAUUACUAGAAAAUAGAAUGCAGCCAAGAAAACUUUUUAAAAUUGAUUGCACAUUGCAGAAAUCUCAACCAAGAGAGCCAAAUUUGUGAAAUAAUGGAAAAUAGAAAAUAGGUAAUCCAAGAACAAAAUAUACAUUGUCCUCCCAUUAAAAAGUAAGGAGACGUGGGAGAGCAGGGGUCUCCUGUACAGGGAGAGCUAUGGCAAAGAUGAGAGCACACUAGUCCCUGCGGCCUUGAGUUCAAGUGCUGCCACAUCACAAAGCUUUGUAUCGAUGGACAGACUCUUGCCCCCUCAGUGCCCACGUUUCCCCACUUGCCAAAUAGGAAAGUGGCCAGUGAGGGCUGGAGAGAUGGCUCAGCCGUUAAAGGCUAGGCUCACAACCAAAUAUAUAAGGAAAGUGGCCAGUGAGAAGUGCUAUGAAAAUGAAGAGUGGCCAGGAAUGAUGCUGUGUUAUACAAAAUUCUAGCUUCAGUUACUUGAAAGAAGGAACUUUUAGAAUAACUGUACUUGCUAGUUUCCUGUGUCAACUUGACACAAGCUGGAGUAUUCACAGAGAAAGGAGCCCCAGUUGUGGAAAUGCCUCCAUGAGACCCAGCUGUAAGGCAUGUUCUCAACUAGUGAUCAAGCGGGGAGGACCCAGCCCAUUGUAGGUGGUACCAUCCCUGGGCUAGUGAUCUUGGGUUCUAUAAGAAAGCAAGCCAGUAAGUAACGUCCCUCCAUGGCCUCUGCAUCAGCUCCUGCUUCCUGGCCUGCUUGAGUUCCAGUCCUGACUUCCUUUGGUUUGAUGAACAGCCAUGUGGAAGUGUAAGCUAAAUAAACCCUUUCCUCCCCAAUUUGGUUUUUGGUUACGAUGUUUGUGCAGGAAUAGACUUAAGACAAUAACCUUAUUAAAUUCUAGGAUCCCAUAGAUGAGCACAUUGUCAUUGUAGAAUCUAUUAGUUGUUUUAAACUGAACUUACUGUCUACUUUGUUUUCUGGAUCAUUCUUAGGUAGCUUUCAUGUAUUUAAUUAAAUCUUGUCUUUCAGUAUGAUUUGUGGAUGUAGGAACUUGGGUCUUGGUCUUGUAUGUCUCUUAAAAAGCUAAGUACAGAGAACAUAAUCAUAAUAGUUAUUGGAUUUUUAAAAAAAAAUAAUUUGGGAUGUGUCUGGUUUUUGUGCUUUAAUUUUAAUGCCACUUUGAAAGAACCAAGUGAACCUGGUUGAAGGUUCCAGUAAGUUAACAGAAGGAACAAUUUAGGAAAGGGAUAUUUUAAGCCACCUUCGAUUACCUUCUUCAGCUGGGGUAAAGAGAAGGGCGAAAGAGCAUGCCCAGUGCCUCAUGGUGGGGUCUUGCAUCAAGCCAGAAACUGGAAGAUAAGAGUAUAAUCUUGACCUCUACGCAAACCUCAGUUUCUUUUCUACAAAAUGAAGAUACUAAGAAAGGAACUACCACGCACUGCUGUUCAGAACAUCAUAUAAAAUUCAUGUACAAAGUAGUCCGUAUAUGAGUUUUGGCUGUAAUCACUUUUUUUUUUGCAAGAGAUAAAUCACACUGUCUCAAUAUGAAAGUCUGUACAUUUGGAGAACAGCCUUUAGGAUGGCAGAACCUUCAUAAGGCCUGAAAGUGUUUCCAGGUCCCCUUUGACAUUUAUGUUGCACCAUAUUAUAUAUAUUGCUUGUUGAAGCUAUAUUUCUAGGACCCAGAUCCAUCUCAUAAUGCUAAUCUAAGCAAAAAGGUGCUAAUUUCAGGGUACUCAUAACUCCUAAGCUUCCUGUGGCAACCCAGGAUGAGAUCUAAUUUUAGUAAGAGAGCAAUAUUAUUGAUCAUUCCGUCUUCCAAAGUCUGCUGCAUUGGGCACUGAGGGUGGCUACCUUCUAAAACUCUACUAGCUUGGUUUCAUGCUCAUAAAUAGCUCCCCACCACUUCAAAGGUUGCCAGGAGCCACCUAGGAGAAGCUAAAAAGUAAUUUUCCUAAAAUUGUUCCACCAUGGACUGCAAAGUUAUGAUGUAUUCCCUUUUUUUUUUAGGCAAGACCUAGGAGAUUACAUUUAGAAAAGAUUCCUGCUAUUAAUAUGCUUUUCCUGUUUUCAUUAAAUAUAUAUAAUAAUCACCAAGUAUUAGCCCUCCCUUUUGAGCAGAUUUCUACAGAACAAUGCAGUCUGUCUUGUAGUGUUGCUAUAUAGACAAAAAAUGAUUUUUUAAUUUUUAAUGAUUCUAUAAAAUUUCCUAAAAUUAUUAGUAAUCAUAAGCUCUUUUAUAAUAGACCUGUUAUUAAGUUGUUUCUGAUGUCAAAACUGCAAAGAGAACUCUGCCAGUCUUCAAGUGUCAUCAGUUAAUUGCUUCUGAGAUAGAAAGCAGACAUCUACAUCUUAGAGAACAUUCCAAGAGGUUGUAAAAUGAUUAACCAAAGGUCAUAAAAAGGGAACUAAUAAUUUAUUGUAUGUGUAAGGACAGGGUUUAUCUACAAAACUUCAUUGAUAACUUAUAGUCAGUUGUUCACUCUCCAUGAAUCUGUAGAGCUAGUGACAGAUAAUGUUUAGCCAGAUAAUUACUCUUAAUAGAUAUGCAUGUAAACAUUCUCUGUUAUAAACUUCUUAUUCAAUUUAUGAUUUGAAUUUAGGUUUGAACUUCUAGUGAACUUUUGUUAAAAAGGAAUGCUUGGAAUAACCAUGUGACCUGCUCUUCUAAAAAAGGUACAAAAAAAAAAAAAAAAAAAACUAGGAAAGAUCACAUUGCAUAGCAUUGGGAGCAAGGGCCUUAUUGUUAGAGAGCAGGAGAGAGCAAGGUUAGGAGAAGAGAUCAGAGAAGAGCAUCUUUGGAGAACUUUUAAGAAAACUUUUUUAAGAGAACUUUUAGAGAGAGAACUUUGUGAAGAAGAAGAACUUAGAAAUAAAGAUUAAAAUCGCUUUUUAAGGUGUCCCUUUUUCUUCCUGCGAUUUUCAUUAGCAGGCUGAGAAUCAGAGCCAAGAAGUUCCUGCAGAGAAGGGACAAAGGCUACUUUUUCUUACCCUCCUCUGCUUUACUAUGAGUGCUAAACAUCAGACAUUGCAGCUCUGGCCUUAGAGGAACUCAGACAGGCAGGUCAGCUACAGUAGCAAAAUGACUUAGACUUAAGAUAGGUAAAUGUUUUAUUAAACAGCAAUUCUAAAUAUCUCCCAAGACCAAGUCUUGCCCCAUCAGACACUCUUCCUCCCUCAACUACCUUCAAGAGAGAACCAGAAAGAAGAACUUCUGGGGCUAACCACUGGCAAAAAGCACUUUUAUCUUGGUAAAUACUACAUUUUAACAUCUUAGCCAAAAAAAUACAAUUAAAUAGUACCAAGUACAUUCAUACUUGUGUGUAACGAAUCUCCAGAAUUGCUUUCAUCCUCUAAAACUAAAACUCUGAUGGUAGGCCCAAGCAAAGAGCCACUAUUUACUUUAUAUCCGUUGAUAUGGCUGCUCUGUGCACUUCUAAAUUUUAGUGAGAUUAUGAGUUCAUACCUUCAAUUAUCAUAUGUAUGUUGAAUGCCUCACAUAUCUACCUCCAGUCCAGAUGUCUUUACUGAAAUCCAGACUCACUGGAAGGUCUUCUAGCUAAUGUCAUUUCACCAUUUCUUCCUUAGGGGCUCUAUUCCUAGUCCUUUAAGUGGCCUUCUAACUUAGACUUAUGUGACAUAAGUAAUCUAUAAUUCUCAGCCUUUCAGAAAAUACUAAUAGCUUUAUACUCAUUAAUUCCUAAUUCACUGGAUUCCCACAACUCUUAGGUUUGCCCUUCUAGCCCAUUCAUAGUUUUAUAACACCUGAUGACCUGCAGAACCACUCUACCAGGGAUACCCAGUGCCACUGGGACUUGGGAAAGUGACCUUUUUUGGACUCUGUUUCAGUGUUUCAGCCCUUCCCACCUACCUCCAUUCUCUGCAGACUCUCUUGGUGCAAAACCAUGGUUCUCCUAGUUCUUUCCUGCAGCCCCUUUAAUUCUUCUUUUCUAGCUUAGUUCCAUUCAUUUGUGACACCUGCUGACCCACAGAAAAGCUCUCUACUAGGGAACUCCCCCCAGCCAUCACUUAGCUAGAAUCCAGAAUGGGCAGCAGCCAGAACAGAACAUCAGCCCAACAAAGAUGAGACCCUAUAUCAAAACCAAGAAACACUUCAAACUCCAGAUGCCUAGAUUACAGCACAUAAUAGUAAUUAAUAAUAAUAAAACUAUGAAUGACCAAGACAUAUGCUUUCUAGCAACUCUAUUGCAGUUAGGCCCUAAGAAAAGCAGUUCAGCUGAAGCAUGGGACUUCAAAAAUAGUUACUAUAAAUAUGUUAAGGGCCAUAAAGAAUAUAUUUAAAUGUUUUAAUGAAGGUUGUGAGAAUAUACAUAAAGAAUUGAAUGAAAUGAUGGGGGAAAAACUCAAGACAGGAAAGUAGAAUUUUAGCAAAAAAGAGAAUCAUUAAAGAAAACCCAAACUAAAGUAAAACUGAAAAUGCAGAACUCAAGAUGUCAAGCAAAAACCUCAGAAGUAAGCUUCAACAACAAAUUAAAAGACAUGGAAGAGAGAAUUUCAGGUCUUGGCAAGUAGAAGAAAUGGAAGCUUAGUUAAAGAAAAUGUUAAUUCUAAAAGAAACAGUCAGAGAAAAUACUAAAUCUAAAAAUAAUUCCAGGCUAAAAAUAACCAAGUUACAGAUAAUUUCUGCAGCUUAUCAGAGCUCCAUAGUUAGGACUUGUUCAGACUCUACUCCAAGAUUCUGUAUGUGACUGUAAACCAGUCUGCUGCCUCAUAAUUAUAUAGAGAGUUGUAGAUUGGUAGAUGUUUCCUGAAAGACCACACUACCCAUAGCCUGCAUGAAUCAUAAAUCUUCCCUGGAAGCAAACAAAAAUAUCUGAUCAUUUCUUGCCUUAGUUUUCCCAAAAUUGCCACAUGGUAACUCUGUUAGGUUUGUGUCAAUUUGACACAACCUAGGAUCAUCAUCUGGGAAGAAGAAACCUGGAUUGAGACAAUGUCCCUAUCAAGUUGACCUGUGAAAAAGCUUGUUGGCAUUUUCUUGGUUAGUGAUGGAUAUAGGAAAACCCAGCCCACUAGGGUGUUCCCACCCCUGAGCAGUUGGUUCUGGGUUGUAUUAGAAGGCAAACUGAACAAGUCAGUAGGUGGUGUUUGUCCUUGCCUUCUGUUUCCAUUCCUGCCUAGAGUUCCCUUUCAUGAUAGAUUACCACUGUAAGCUGAAACAAACCCUUCCCAAGUUUCUUUUGGUUAUGGUGUUUAUCACAUAGCAAACUAGAACAGUUAUAGUAACCAGAGGAGAAUUAAGACACAAAGUUCAGGAAAACGUGAUAGCAGGGAGGGCUGGGAGAAAAGAAUGGUCCUGCUUCCUGGAUAAACAUGACCAUCAUUACCAGCCUUCAUCUUCUUCCUUGGUAAGAAGCCAUUACACCUCCAAGAGAAGAUCAGUGUCACAGAAAGCACAGUUUAUUUACUAUCCCAGUGGUUUGGCUGAAAUGGUAAGACAGUUUAGAAGUCUCAGUGCAUUAACAUGUAACCUUUGUUUCAUGCAAAGACUCCAUGGUGAGACUUUGCUACAUAGGACCUCAGAAGAUUUCUGUUCUUACACCAUGCUGUCUAUGAAGCCAAGGAGAGCCUGGCAGGGGACUUCAUUGUAGUUUACCCCCUUUUUAUUUCCUGCCUCAAUGUUUUUUCCCUUCAGUUGCUUUCAUAAGACUGUACAACUCACAAUGUAUUAGCAUAUAAACUAUUGUUCACAUUUCUGUUUCUAGGCAAAGGCACUUUUCCAUAGAAACAUAGCAGUUCCUUUCCCAACCAAAUUAUUAUUACACAUCCCUUGUGGAAGAUUCUAAAUUAUUGGCUUCCUGACAUGGUGCCUAUGAAAUGUUCUUGGAAAACCGUUAAACCCAGACCUAAUCAAAUCUUUAGACUUCAUUUGAAGGGUGAUAGUACUUAAACAUAACACUGGAAAGCAACAGAUAAGUCAAGAAUAUGCAGCCUUCUCCCCAGAUUCUUCGAGGGGAUUCCAUACCAUAUGUUAAAACCAUAAAGUAGGAAUUGUGGGGGAGAUUGAUCUCCAAAUGGAAUCCUCAGAACUUGGCUGCAUCAUAGAUGAAAGUUCCAUUAAAAUCUUUAGAAGACAAUUAUAAAAAUUUAAAAAUGACUUAGAGAGAAUGGUAAGAUAGUUCAGAAGGUAGGGGAGCUUGCCACCAUACCUGAGAACCUAAGUUGGAUUUCUGGAACCUACAUAGUGGGAAAAGUGACUUCCUCAAGUUGUCCUUUAGCAUCCCCACAUGCAGUAUGGCACAAGUACCAUGCACAUACACAGCUUUAGUGACUUGUAUAUUAGUGGUGGUUACUAAUAGAAUAAUUGUUACGUUCCUUUGAUAUGAUAGUAGUAUAUAACUCUACAAAAUAUUGUCUUUAUUAGGUGAUUCAUACUGAAGCAAUCAUUGUGCUGUAUCUACUUUAUAUUCUCAAAGUAUUUAUAUCCUUGUGUUUGUGGAAGGAAAAAGGGAAUUUACAUUUUGUAAAAUAUUGGCAUUACUGAAUGUAAGUUGAAGUCUUUUAUAGUUCCAGUCUAUUGACACCUAACUGCUUAAAACUUUUCAUAGCCAAAAGUAAGAAGACAAAUACCCUGGGGAAAGUGGGUCAACGUUAGGAUAUGCCCUUGUGGGAAGAAAUGUGUUAAUCAUUUUCCUCAGCCAGUUUCAUGUUAGCAGCCAAUAUGAGAUCAGAGGCUAUUAUGUACCUCAAAGUGGAUAGUCACACCCAAAUUGCUAUCCUCUCAAGAGUCUUUUACCUUUCCUGUCCGGCAGUUAACCAGGUAGGGGGAAAAAUCAGUGUCAUUUCUGCAUAUACAAGUUCUUUGUUGGCAGAAUAAUUAGCAAGGAGUUCAGAGAGUUCCUUCUCAUAAAAAGCUGCAUUCCGUUUGAAGGAGUUGAAAGCAAUGAAGCUCUUCAGAGAAAUUGUUUUUUACAGAUAAAUUUCAAGUGAUGAUACAUACAGCCUCUUAGUGACACACGUGGAUUAAGUAAUAUUCUUAAAUGCACUUCAGGCUUCUGAUAUUAGCACUACAUUUUUGCUCAAGGUGGAAACUUUCCCAACCUAGUUUGUUUUGACCUAGUUUUCCAUCAUUUACCUGGCCUCAAUCCCCAAGAUUCUUCCAGGCAAAUAGACUUCUGCUUUGUCCCUGAACAUCUGACUGACCAAUCUGUACUCUUUCCCAUUACAGAUGGAAAGCAUGCGUGUGUUACACUUAUGCAGCCAAUCUGGCCACCUAUGCUCUGAACUCCAAAAGGAUAUUCUUCAAGUAGAGUUCUUUUCUGUUUUGUCUUGGGAGCAGCUUCUCUCAUGGCUGUGAAGUGCUUACAGUUCACAAAUGUUCGUUCUUCCUGUGUAUAUUAAAAGUAACCUUGUAAUCAAAGGCUGAGCUCAUGGCAAGCAGCCCCCAAAUUUUAGUGGCUUAUAAAAACAUAGACACUCAGUAGUCCCGUGUCAGCAGCAGCAGCACUGCUUAAGGGUAUGGACAAAUUUAGAGUUGUCUUACUUACCUCUGAUUCUCUUCACCAAUGGUUACCCAACUGAGAUUCAACUCAUGAAGGUGGCAGGAGUGUCAGUGGCAAACAGAAACAAAAAUCCUUGGAUCACAUCAAGAUCUUAGAUCAAAACUGACACGCUAUCACUUUUGCUCACAUUCCGUGGGUCAGAGCCCAACAUCGAUGAGGUAAUUGGUGAACCUUGCAAAGGGCUAGGAGAGAGAGAACUGUAGGCAAAUUUACCUUAGCUUCCCUUGAGCUUGGUUUGUACUUGCAAUUAAGUUCUGGCUAAGAGAAUGUAGAAAGAUGUGAUACACUGCCUCUUGCCCUUGCUGGUCUAAGACCUGUCUUCUCCUGCAUGCCAGCUAGGGACAUGUAGAACUACAGAUACUGAUGUCAUGGCUAUUCUGCCAACCCUACCUCUAUCCUGUUACAAGUAUCUUAUUCAUAGUCCUGGGGUUGUGCAUUUCAGUUACAGUGCCUUAGAACCAUCAUUAAUUUAUAGUUCAUUCAGGAACUAUUCACUAGGGGUCUUUGUGCCAUAAAUCAUGCUUGGCCUUGGAGAAGUGACAAUGGGCAAAACCUACUUGGCUAUUUUGUAUCUUGAAUGACAAAUCUUGACAUGAAUGAGUUGUAUUGAACUUAUAAAGUUGUAUAGAAUUAAGUCUCUAGUAAUGCAAGGAAAACUCGACACACAAUGUACAAGAUCUUUGGGCUGUAACAAUUUUGACUUACUAUGUGUGACAGUAUACUAUGAUUUCACAAGAUGUUGCUGCAGAGAACUUGGUGAAAGGUUCACAGGAUCUCUGUAGUCUCACAUCUACCUUAAUAUGUAUAAGCUCAAGCCAAAAAAAAAAAAACCAAAAAACAAAAAACCCAAAUACCCUCACGCCCUUGGUUUCAUGCCUAUGCCCUAGAAUUAAGUUAUAAGACUAAAAUAUCAAAAAGGUCAUUGAUGAUAACUUGAACUGGUAACAACUCAACUUCACCCAUGCAAAAGACAGCAAUGCCCUGACAUAGUAGAGUGGUUAUUUAAAUGAAUUAAGCAGAGAAAUGCCAGGCAAGAAUACUUAGCCUAAACCAUGAAGCAAGGGCAAUACAAAGUACCUUUCUCUUUAAAUAAACAUCCAUAUAAUUUAUCACCCAGCCAGAGGCCCUUGAAAAUAGUCACAUUGAAACAACUUGUGCAAUGAACUAUGUUGGCCACUCUACCUUUAAUACAUUGUAUUGUUCUUUGUUAGAGCAACCUAGCUUCUUCGACUAGUAUGGACAUCAGUGACUGUUUUGUAAGCUGAGGUAAGAUAUACAAGUGUGGGUAACAAAUAAUUCCCAAACUUAAGCAGCUUAAAUGUACCCAAAUGUUUAUUUCUUGCCCAUACAAAAGAUAAUAAGGUGUUUGUAGUCUUGUGUCUAUUUAACUAAUUUGGAUUAUAACCUUCCUGGGUUGUUAGAAACUGGAAACAAAAACCAAAAGGGGGCAUGAUUUUAGGGGCCAAUCCACUGGCUUCAACAAGACAAGUGUUCAUCUUGUUCUCCUUCAGAUAACAGUUCACAGGUGAGCAGGUGGGUGGUCCAGAGCAUUGGUUGAAGUGCCUCAUAAGGUUAUCUCGGCACCAGUGUCACUUUUCCUCAGCAGUCUAUAGCAUCCACAGUUCAGUGAGACUCGUUGGCAAUUUAGGAUGUCCAUAAUUUAGAUCUAGAUACUAAAUUAUGAUAUUCUAAGUUACAAUUUGUUGCAACCACUAACUAGAAUUAGUACUUAAGCUCUAUGUGGACAGAUCUGUUUCUUUCCAUGAGAAUAUAAACUGUGCUAAAGGCUAGGCUGCCUUGGGAAGACUUCAGUGUUGUGACAAACCCUCUGGGACAGGAUAGUAAAGAUGAGAUGUAAACAUGCAGACUGUUAUUUCCAGAAGCAGUGAGUAGGGGCUAGUGUAACUAUUGGUUUCCUACACAGUACUGAAGGCCUCAGUGAGAAGGCUGGAUAAAUCAACCACACUGUGACUGUAACUAACAGCUGAGUAACUAGGAAGCCCUUAGAAAGAAUGCAACAAGAUAUGUGUAUUUUCACAAGAAAGUGAGUCACUAUAUAAAUGCAAAUGUGGUAAUGUCAUAUAUGCUAAGAUUCCUUUUGUUAGAAAAUCAAAACCAUAUGUUUGGAGAGGAAAGUGCCCAUUUGGAGGCAUGGUGCUGAGCAGCAGUUAAGAGCAGUGCCACGCUGCUGCUUUAACUUCCCCCACAUGUAGUCCUAGUGAUGCUAUGGCUGUUUCAGGAACUAAGAGAGGUUCUUGUUUGAACAAAUUCCUAGAAAUAUAAAUGGGCAGAUUAUUAAUUUAGCUCCUUCCAAAAAUUAUGUAAUACUUGAGUUUAAAGUGAUUGUAUUCUAACAAGAAGGGAAGGAAAUGUUGUAGCUCUGGCUGGCUCCUACCUUCCUAGGCAUCUCAGGCAGCAGAGCAGAGUUCACUGUUGGGAAUUUGUUUCUUUUCUGCCACAGCUGCCAUCUUACUUUCCUGAAACCUUUCAGUCCUUGCCUAAUCAAUGAAGAGCUUGGUCUAAGCAUUGUAAAAUCAGCAUAUGGUCUCUCCAUCUCCAGUCUACCUACGACGUUGUAGUUAUGGAACUGGCUGAAAGAAUACGGUCAGGAAGGUGAGAAGUGAGCUAAGGGUGCCCAUGUAGGCCCCAUAGGGGAUGGCAUGAAGCUGCUUAGUCACUGAGACCUUGCUCUGUGAAAAAGUCGAGAGUUGAUAUUUGUCCACUGUCCUGUGCUCCUGGCUGACUGCUGAGACAUAACAGAGACUGGAAUGAACUUCAGGGCACAUCCUAAUUUCUCCUAACUGCCUCAGCCAUGAUGGGACAAUCAACUUCAAGGUUCUCACUAUGAAGCCUUAUCUUGGGACUGAUAAUGUAGACCAGGCUGGCCUUAAACUCAUAAAGAUCCACCUGCUUCUUCCUGAGUGCUAAAAUUAAAGGCAUGUGCCACCAUACCUGACUAAAAUACUGAAUUUAAAUGACCUUAAGAUGCCAUAACUAUUAAUACAUAGUAAAUUUCCUCUAUCUCAUAUAUUGUUUGAAAAAUGGUAAUUUUUGUGUUAGAGACAAACAGAAACAAAAUGGGGAGAAUGACAGUGACACCCACCCACCCCACCCCAGCCAACCCAACUUUACUGAGGCCAACAGACUUUAAGAAGGAUAGAUUUUGUCCAGUUGAAUUCACUUUAGAAUCUUGAUUUUAGAACAAAACAUAGUUAGUUCUUGAGCUAAAUUCCUUAUUUCUCAAAAGUAAUAAACUAUCAAGAAGGUCUGUGAGCUGUGAAAGAAUUCUGUAGGAAGUAAGGCUAAAGGUCACAAUCUUCCAGAGUGUAACCAGAUUCCAAGAAGGAGAGGAAAAGUCACUCGUAAGUACUUGGGCAGAGAAAAUCUAAUGUCAUAUAUAUCAGCGAGUACCCAGAAAUCAGCUUCAGAGAAAGGAAAGUAACAAAUACUAUGACUGGGAAGAGGGCUCAAGUCAGUAAAUUGCUUGUCUUAAAAGCAGGAGAACCUGAGUUUGAUCCCCAGGAGCCACAUUAAAAACAAAAAGGCUAGGAAUGGUAGUAUGUGCUUGUAGUCCCAGGGCUGCACAGGCUGUCAGGCAGAUCCCUGGUACUUGCUGACCAACUAGUCUAUCUUACUUGGCGUGUUUCAAGCUAGCGAAAAACCUUGGCUCAAUAGAAGAUGGACAUUUAAGAAUAAUACCCAAGAUUGCCAUCUUCCCAAAACAACAACAAAAUGAAAAAAGACAUACAAAUUUCAAGGAAACUAAAGCUAAGUUUAUGAGACUUCUGUUUACUAUAAAAGGGAAGCAAAUUAAAAGCCUGCAACAGCAGGGUUGGGGAUUUAGCUCAGUGGUAGAGCGCUUGCCUAGCAAGUGCAAGGCCCUGGGUUUGGUCCCCAGCUCUGAAAAAAAGAAAAGAAAAAAAAAAGCCUGCAACAGAAACAUAAAAUUUCUAACUGAACGCUCAAUAUGUAUAUUUAGUGGCAGAUUAAAUGGCUCAGAGAAACCAAUGGACUGGAAGACAAAUUUGAUCCAGAAUGAAACUUGGAACAAGGUGGAAGUCUGAUAGAUGGGAAUAAAAGGCCAAGAGACACAGGAGAUCAGCGAAAAGGUGAUAUAUAUAUUAAUCCUGGAAGGAAGAAAGAAAAGAGAUUAAUAUCUCAGCACUAGUUUACUGAGACUUAAAGCCACAACUGCAGGAGCACAAAGAAACCAAGAUAAGAUAACAUUUGUCCACACUAAAAUAUGUUGUAAUUAAAGUCAGGUAAAGACAGAGAAACAAACCUUAAGCCUUUAAAAAUAUGCUAAACAAAUACAUGGCCAGAUGGUUUGAUGUGACAAAAAAAAUAUGAGACCUAUCCAAGAAAUGUAUAAUAACAAUAUUCUAAGUUAGGUGUGGUAGCAAAUACCUGUAAUCCCAGAAGCUAAAAGGCUGAGGCAGGAAGGCAACAAGUUAUAGGCUAAUCUAUGGAGCAAGCUCUAAAAACACAUUUUAAUUUAGACUAAGACAAUAUGAUUUUCAAACUAGAGGGGAAAUAGAAUAAUUAUAAAAGAAUUGUAAUAGAAUAAUUCUGAUAUAAUCUAAAGACAGGAAAUAACUGAAACCAAGUGAAAUUAAAAAUAGUAAGAUUUAAAUCUAAAACAAUAAGCAAUUAUGCAUUAAAAACAUUCCUGUUAAAAUGAAUUUUUAGACUGAAUUAAACAGUACUGUAGGCCAUUUCCAAGUAGCACAUCCAACAUAUGAAAAAGCACAGAAACACUGAAAGUAAAAGGAUGGAAAGAGAUACACCAUGCAUCACUAAUUGGAAAGAAAUGAGUCUACUAAUGUCAGAGAAGAGACUAAGCAAAAGGCAUCACUAGAAUCAGGUUUUCCUCCAUAAAGUUUCAAUGAGCCUGUUCUGUAUGGCAUCGGUAAAGUGAAAUCCUCAGUAAAGGACUAACUCAACAAACUACCACUCAUUAGUAACAGUGAUGUGUGAUACAUUACAAAGUUAACCUAAUGACUUCAUGUCGGCGACUAUACCCAGCAUCCGCAGAACCUUUUCCAAUGAUGUAAGCAUCAUUAAAGCAGUGCAGGCUGGGCCUAAAGCAAGUCUCAGCAUAAUUUUAAGGACGGCAAAUACAGACUGUUUUCUGAACACAAUGAAAUAAUAAAAUGGUACCUGGGACACCCAUAUGUUAGCAUGUCUAAAAAUAAACUCCUAGCCCCUUAUCGGAUAUAUGCUAUAAUUUCCUCCUUUUCAUCUCUCACUUAGAUUAUUUAUAUUGGGGGCUCUUGUUUAGUCACCCCAAAAGUUCAUCAAUUUUCCUACACUUGCGAGCCAGCCUGGACUUUGCUGAUCACUGUUGUACUGUUUUGUCAUUAAUGUUUACUCUCCUCUUCAUAGCUUUCAGCUUUUGAAAAUAAGAACAUUCGUCAAUUUAACAGUAAUGUUUAUAUAGUAAUUUUUUUUAAGUUCCAAGGCAGUAUUACUAGAGUUUGAAAUAAAAACAACAGGAAAGGUGAGUUGAAAGUCUUGGCAGCUGACAAGGAAUGGAAGAGAUGAAGAGAGCGAGCCGUGCCUAUAGAAUUAGUGCCCAAGAAAGCAGGCAAGUUUAGCAAUGGAUGGCCCAAGGCAGCUAGCUGUAUGGCAGAAGUGGGGGCACUCUGGGGAAAGAAUAAGAAAGACCACAAUGUCAGGGCAGUAUGCUUGGCCUUUUGACAAAUAUGCAAAAAGAAAGAUGGAAAAGGGAAGAUUACACUUUCUGAGUUAGAGCUCAGGGGGUGGGGGGUGGGGCGAGCAUGCAGUGCCAUGUAACGGACUCUGGAAGCAGCUGUUUGUAUGGUAUUUUUAACAGAAAAUGCAGGCUUCAUUGGGAAUGGUAGUAGUACAUACUUCCAGCACCUAGGAACCAGAGGCAGGAUUGCAAGUUAAAGGCCAGUCUCAUUUAUAGAGCAAGUUCUAAAUCAGCUAAGCAAACAGUGAGAGCUAUUUCAAAACAAGGAUGGAGAUGGCUCAGUGUGUAAAAAGUGCUUGCUGCCAAGCCUAAUGGCCUGAGUCCAGUUCCCAGUGUUAGCAUUCUGUCUAAGCUCUGCCCCACAGUUACCUGGCAACAGCCAGGUAUGCCUGACACUAUCAAAGGGGCUGCUUGCCCCACCCUCUCUCUUGUUCUCUUGCUCCUCUCUUGCUCUUGCCUUUCUGCCCCCACUCUCCCCAUUCCCUUCCCCUCUCUCUCUCCACGUGCUCAUGACCAGCCUCUACUCCCUCUCUUUCUCUGCCUUUCUCUGCCUCUACUACCCUCUUGCCUCCCCUCCCCAUGCCAUGAAUAAACUCUAUUCUACACUAUACUGUUAUCUGGCUGGUCCCUCUGGGGGAAGGGAUACCUCAGCAUGGGCUGGCAGAGACACCCCCUCCCUCAACACCUCACCACACCUCCACAGAACAUAUCCCCCCUCUAUCUUUUUAAAUACAUCACACAGGACAUCCACAUAUGUGUGUGGUGGGUGGGGCGAAUGUGAAAGCCAAAAGACAGUUGGUCAGGUUGUUAGGCUUGGCAACAAGUGCCUGUGCUCACUGAGCACUUUGGCUGCCCCUUUUCACUAUUCCUUAAAGAACUGUGUUAGUGGGUUCCCCAUCCAUUUUACAGGUAAGAAAAUUGCAGGCAAGAUAGGAAACAAACUCAUAACUGUUGCAUUGACUGAAACACUGGUCCUAAGUGUGUAUCUGAGACCACAGGAACUGUGCCCUCCUCAGAGUCCCUGAGAACCCCAGGAUCUCCCCUUAUCUUUUCAGAUUUUAAUGGGCACUUACUAAAAACAGCCAUAGUUAAGAUGGUGAAGACUUUGGCGCUCACUGAUUCUUCUUGUAUAAUCUCUAGCAGAUCUGUGAAUAACCGAGUUUAAAAAAAAUCACAACUACAAUAAAAGCCAAAAAGGAGGAAGGGUGAGGCAUGGGAAGCAAAAUGUACAUAGCAUGGGUGUCUAGGUUGCUUAAAGCUGCCUCAGGCUGGAGGCUCUUCUUGCUAAACCCCUCUCUCAAAGACAAAGCAUGCUUGCUCAGAACAAUAGGCUGGUUAUUUAAAGCAAGAUUAACACUGAGAAAAAGCUUGGUUUCCUUACCUCUUUUCUCAUUUUAUCUGAAUAUGGCAUGGACCAUGGGAAUUUCCUUGAGUUUCAGUUAAGAAUUGUCUACUAUCUUCUAUCUUCUAUCUUGAAGAUCCAAAAUGCCUGGAUAAGAACCACUACUUGGCCAGCCUUUCUUGAUACAUCCUCAUUUACAUUACUUUCACUUCAGGUACUCACUCUUUCUCCAUCUACAAUUACACUGACUUUUCUUUUUUUUUUUUUUUUUUUCUUUUGGUUCUUUUUUUUUCCCGGAGCUGGGGACCGAACCCAGGGCCUUGCGCUUCCUAGGUAAGCGCUCUACCACUGAGCUAAAUCCCCAGCCCCUACACUGACUUUUCUUAUCUCACCUCCAGGAAGACGGGUUCACUUUCAGACUAAGGUGCUUCUCCUUUCCAGAAUUCGUACCCCACAGUGUAGUCCCAGGAAAGCAAUGAUGAGAUUCAGUUGUGUCUGCCUGCCUUUUCUGAGGCCUUGUCUUCUUUUCUGAGGAGGGACUCAGAUCCACCUGCUUCUACCUCCUGAGUGCGGGCUAGAUGAGAUUUUUAGAAUUUACCUUUUUACAUUCUUUGGGAUUUUCUAUUUGUAAACUUCACAAAUUCUAGAAAAUUCCCAGCUCAGUUCCCCUUAUUCCUUCUUUCAUCGUUCUCCUUCUGAACUAUGAUUAAACGUUAAAAAUAACUCCAUUCACUGAAAAACAAAUCCCAAUAGAGCUUCCCAGACACCUACAUUCCCAUUUUGAAGCUACAUUUUAGGCAACUUCUUCACAUAUCGUUGAGUAAUUGUUUUCUCAUGUGUUCUAUUGCCAAGAGUUUCUUUAAGUAUUAUAAUCAUCUUUAAGAAUUUUUAUAAAUAUAUUGCAUUCACUAUGGCAAAACUAUUGGGUAUGUUUCUUUUUGCUGGAUUUCACUUAUAUUGUCUUUUCCCAAUAUAUCUGUUUAUCUUUGCUUGCAAAUUAUUUAUGGGAGCUGGACAAAGAGGCACAUACCUUUAACCUCAGAACUCUGAAAGAUAGAAGCAGGAUUGUGAUUUUUUUUUUUUUUUUUUGAGGCUAACCUGGGAUAGUGACUUUGCUACAAAAGGAAAAAAAAAGGGUGUGUGUGUGUGUGUGUGUGUGUGUGUAGUGUUAAAGAGAUUAAAUUGAGCUAGUUCUCUUCUGUUUGUCUACCAUGUCUCAGGCUGUUACUUAGAUCUGAGUAAAACCAGGGAUAUUUUCACUUUUUCUUCUACCACUCUACCUAUUAUUAACAAGGUCAUUGUCUCUCUACACUCAGAGGGAAAGGGUUAGCUCUGACUUAUUUUGCUGUAAGCAACUUAGGAACCCAACUUUAACUUUUCAAAGGUCUCCUAUUCAUCACCAUGGUGGGACUGAUUCUGAAUUUCUCUGACCCAGAGAGCAUCAGUAUUCCACAGAAUAUGGUGGGACUGGCUCUGAAGUUCUUAGCCAGAGUCCACAGAACAAGUUGCAUUUUACCUUAUCAUAGAUCCCAUUUUUAAAAGGUUUAUAUUAUUUUUUCAGAGAGAGAGAGAGAGAGAGAGAGAGAGAGAGAGAGAGAGAGAGAGAACGAUAGAUAGAACUCAUUAAAGCCAGAGGCAUUGAAAACCCUUGAAGCUGGAGUUAUGGAAGGUUGUAAACUUCCCUAGUGGGUGCUGAGAUUAAAGUAAGGUGGAGUACUCAUGUAUGGUAUUGGUGCUCCUUAUUAUAAAGGAGGCUCAAGAAAGACCCCUUGAUCUACACAUAGUGCAGUAAGGUCCCUUCUAUGACCCAAGAAAUGGAUUCUAAACAGAUUUACAAACCAAAGGUGCCCCAUUAUUACACUUGUCACCCUCCAGGAUUGAGAAAUAGUUAUUUUUGAAAUUAUUCCCUUUACAGUUAUUUAUAGCAGCCAAAUGAACUAAAGACAGUAUACUAUGUGCCUUUAAAAAACAGAUUUUCAUUUUCAGUGGGAAAUACCUAAAUAUUGUAGCCCAUCUUUACCAAAACCGAAAUGUUAGUUUACAUUGGUUUUUCAUCUCAGAUUUUAAACUUUAUCUUUAGCCUAUUAACACUUGUCUAUGACACCUCCUAUGCAUAUGUGACUUUAUAAACAUCUUGACCAUAUUCCUAGAGAAAAGCAUUUUAGGCCACAGGUCUUCCAUAUUCCAGUUUACUUUUCACCAUGCCAAUUCUCUCUUACCUUGCUAACUUUAAAAAUGUAUUUUGAUUCACUUACAAGUUAAGGUUUUUGCUUUUUGUCUUCUUGUGUAUCAUUUACUAGAAAAAAGCAAAGAUGAUCACUAAUCUCUUCAUAUCCAUAGACUGGUCCAAGCAGGCUAAGUCACAUAAACUCAUUGAAUCUGCAGCAUGGUGUCCAUUAUGGGACAACCAGGAGACCCAUACACAUCUGAGUUAAGCUGAAUUUAUCUCACCCUAGAUAUAAUAUUCAAGGCCAAGCCAAAAAGCCACUAGCCUAUUUAUGUCUUGUCUCUGACUCUAUGGAGGUUGUAGUAGUUGUCCCCAGCAUGCAGUACACUGGGGUAAUCAAGAUACCAAUCUAAAAGGAGGCUAAAGAGAGGUCUUAGCAGUUAAGAGUACUGCUCUCAAAUGCAAAUUCGGCUCCCUGCAUCCAUUAUCAGGUCAGAUUACAACUACCUAGAACUCUAGCUCCAGCUGAUUCUUCCAGCUUCCUCAGACGCAAAUUCACAAGCACAUAGCCCCACACAUAAUUAAAUAUAUAUUAUAUAUAAUUUUUAAAGUGACCACAGAGCCAGAGAUGUACCUCACUGGUAGAAUUUGCAGAAUAUGCAAAAAUUCAUUUUGUCUGAUCCACAGUAUCACAGGGCUCACAAUCUUUUCUAUAAGGUGGCCAGCUUCAACAUUUUUACUUUUGUCAUCCCUGAAACUAAGCAGUGCCAUAGAUCCAGUUGGAGCUUACAUGGGGAGACACGAGUGUGAAGGGAAUAGGAUUCAAGCCACUAGCUGCUUUGGGUAUAGGCACAUGGAAACCUCAGGAUUGUCUAAUAAGCUAGAAGUAGUCUUUAGCAAAUGCAACCCCUUUCCUCAAUGGCUACUGGAAUGGAUAGUCUGUGGUCUUUCUGCUCACCACAAAACAGCCACUCAGGACGAUUACUGAACUGUUCUGAUGUCUUUAUUCAGGAUAGUCUAAUUCCUACUCCUCAGAAUAGCCCAAUAUCCACAUCUCUUUUCCGGGUUGGCUGAUUUUCUCUUAACACUUAGGUGUGUGUGUAUUAGUGUGACUUUGCUCAUAGUCUUAACUAAUUCUUGCUCCCAUCUUUCAAUACCUAGGGCCCAGGACAGUAGUUUGUACCUAGCAGAUUCUCCACAAAUAUUUGCUGAGUAAACUACAUGUACAGAUAGGAUCAAAUUAACCAGUGUCUCAUGCAGUAUAACAGUCCAAGUAUGGACAUUCUACUGCAGAAUUGAGUGGCAAAAUUGUAUUCUCCCUUUUUUCACCUCAUGUGUCAAAACCUACUGGUGGGAAUUUGGAAACAGAAACAAAGUACUCUGUAGUGUUCCCAGAGGGAGACAUGGGAAUUAUUUAAUUAGAGACUGGAAUCCUCAAAGUGAUGGAUAUGGCUAGAGAUUGUCUUUUGUAAUGAUUGUAGGUCCUGAAGUCAGAACAAACUGAGAGUUCACCUGGUACUGAUAACUUCUCCAAUUACUAUGGGUGGAGCUCAACUCAGAAGAAUCUGCUUUUACUAUUGAAAUGCCUAGUCUUUACUGCUAUAGUUACUAAUAUUUUAUAUUAAGUUCUGUUCCUAAUGAAUUGUAUGGUGACUGAUCACUCAUAUAGCCUACCCACUCUAACAAAUUAUAAUCCGGACUAAUAUCACAAUCAGAUUGCUUACCCAGAAGAUUUGCAUUAUCUUCAAAAAUGUAUCUAUUUUCCCCUGAGAUAAGUAUGAUCUAACUUCUGGUGAAUUCUAAGAUACUAGUUUAGUAGAUGAAUAUUCACAGAUAAGACAGAAGCUUCUCUGGCUUAGAUUCUGUACUACUUACAAGGGAACACACAAAUGGCUCUCUAUGUUUGUCCAUCUAAAAUAAGUCACAGCCUAUUUACAUUUGAGGCAUUUAUUAUACCCCCCCUUACCUUGCCAUAACUAUUCAGCCUUUAUGGCAAAGUGAGUUUUGAACAUAUUCAUAUUUUACAACAGACAAUAUACACAUGUAUGUAGUACAUAAAAUUUUUACACUUUCUGAAACAAUAUUGGUUUUUUUGUUUUUUGUUUUUUUUUUUUUUUGGUUCUUUUUUUCGGAGCUGGGGACCGAACCUAGAACAAUAUUGUUUUUAAGACAUGAAUUUCUUCUUAAUUACUGGUACUUAUUUAGCUCUUGUAAUAAAAUGCCUUCCUUUGAGACUUUUUUUUAAUUCAUAGGAGUCCCUGAAUUUUUCCUGUAAGGUGCAAAUUCAUGUUGAAGAUGUGUUCCCUUACUUAACUGAAGAUACUGAAAUCCUUCCGCUCUCUCAGUAUAUGUGAAUGCCACCUCCCAGGUCAUCAUUUAUUAUCUCUAUUACAUAUUAAGGGAAUUGAUUUGAAACUCUAGUCUUACCAGUUCAGUUAGUAUAAUAGUAUACUCCAACUAAUAUGCAUUUUAAAGUGAUUAUGUCACAGAUUUGACUAUGCCUUUUCCUAAGACAUCUAAAUUGUUUCAGAAGUUGUGAUCUUCCUACCACAAACCAUUAUUGUUAAGUCUAUAAUUUCAUGACUACUAAUAAACUGAUAUUCCCUGAAACCAUCCUCUCCCUGAAUUUGCCUAUUAGAGGCCCUUCUUGGAUCUUUUUUCCACUGACCAAAGUAUAGAGGUCAAAAUUAUACCAACUUUCUACAUUCUUAUUCACUUAUUUAUCCAAAUAGGAUCUUUGUAGUGGUGAAUAAGAUUUCUAACUAAAGACCUUUAUCUUUAUGUUCUAUGUCCAGACUACAUUUUUUAAGAGUUCCAUCACUUUGAAAGGUUUUAUAUCCAGUGGUAUUUUAUAUUCCUAAAGGGCUCAACUAUUGUGACACUAGAACUGUUCCUGCUAUGACUGAAUCACGUGGAAGGAAUUGCUCAUGAUCACUCAGAAUUCUUUCACUCACACUAUGAUUAUUAUAAGCCAUGACUAAAGACCUCAGAAAUUCUUACAUUCAUAAAGUUUUUCUUCUAUUUGAUUCCUUUGAGACUUGGCAGGCUCUGCCUCCCACAUAGGCAUCUGCAUCCUGGUCCCAUCCAGAGCAUUCCCUCCCUCAUAGUAGAUCCUCUUCUGGAAUGUGCCACUGUGACUUUCCAUAUUUGCCAUAUUUAAAGAUUCCUCCCCUGUAUGGAUUCUUUUGUGCUUGGUAAGGUUUGAUCUGAUAUUAAAUGCCUUCCCACAAUCAUUACAUCGAUAUGGCUUCUUUCCAGUGUGGAUCCUUUUGUGCUGGUCAAGGACGGAUCUGUAAUUGAAAGAUUUCCCACACUCACAAUUAUAGGGCUGCUUUCCACGGUGGACACUUUUAUGAUUGAUAAGACUUGAGUGUGAAAUGUAUGCCUUUUCACAUUCAUCACAUCCAUAGGGUUUUUCCCCUGUGUGGAUCCUUUUAUGUACCGUGAGGCCUGAGCUGUUCCUGAAGGCCUUCCCACACCAGUCACAUAUAUAAGGUUUCUCCCCUGUGUGGAUCCUCUUGUGUUGGGAAAGAAGUGAGCUGUAGCUAAAUGAUUUCCCACACUCAACACACUUGAAGGGUUUUUCCCCAAGAUGGACUCUCUUAUGGCUUAUGAGAGUUCUGCUUGAGAAAAAUGCUUUUCCGCAUUCAUCACAUGUAUAGGGCGUCUUGCCAGGGUGUGUACUUUUAUGGUUAAUAAGGCUUGAGUGUGAGAUGUAGGCUUUUCCACAUAUGUCACACUCAUACGGCUUCUCCCCAGUGUGUAUUCUUUUAUGCACUUUAAGGCUUGAGUUGUUUCUGAAGACCUUCUCACACCUGUCACAUUCAAAGGGCUUCUCUCUAGUAUGAACUCUUUUGUGUUGAGAAAGGAGUGAGGUGUAGUUAAAUGAUUUCUCACACACAUCGCAUUUAUAGGGCUUUUCUCCAAGAUGAAUUUUUUUGUGGUUUAGAAGGGUUCGGUAUGUGAUGAAGGCUUUCUCACACUCAUCACACUUAAAGGGCUUCUCCCCAGGGUGUACACUUUUAUGAUUUAUAAGGCUUGAGAGUGAGAUGUAGGCUUUUCCACAUUCUUCACAUUUGUAAGGUCUCUCCCCUGUGUGAAUUCGUUUAUGUACUUUAAGGCCUGAAUUGUUUCUGAAGGCUUUUCCACACUCAUCACACCCAAAGGGUUUCUCCCUUGUAUGAAUCCUUUUAUGCUGUUCAAGGGCAGAACUGUAGUUGAAAGAUUUCUCACAAUAGCUGCAUUUGUAGGGCUUCUCCCCCAGGUGGAUUCCUUUGUGAUUUUUAAGGCUUGAGCGUGAGAUAUAGGCUUUCCCGCACACAUCACACUUAUAUGGUUUUUCCCCAGUAUGGAGCCUCCGAUGGACUUUGAGACCUGAAUUGUUCCUGAACGUUUUGCCACACACAUCACAUACAUAAGGUCUCUCUCCAGUAUGAAUGGUCUUAUGCUGAAGAAGAAGUGAGUUAUAACUAAAGGACUUGCCACAGUCUUUACAUUCAUGGGCUUUCUUGCCAGGAUGAAUGCUUUUAUGGACUGCAAGGCCUGAACUAUAGCUGAAUGCUUUGCCACAGAUAUCACACUUGUAAGGUUUUUCUCCUGUGUGGAUCCUUUUAUGCACUAUAAGGCCUGAGCUGUUCCUGAAGGCCUUCCCACAUUCAUCACAUUCAUAAGGUUUCUCACCAGUGUGGAUGACUUUAUGCUGAAUGAGGAGAGAGCUAUAAUUAAAAGAUUUCUCACACUCAUCACAUUUAUAAGGUUUAUCACCAAAGUGGAUGCUUUUAUGAUUUAGGAGUGUUCUGCAAGUAAUGAAUGCCUUCCCACAUUCAUCACAUUCAUAGGGCUUUUCACCUGUGUGGAUCCUUUUGUGGACCCUCAGGCCUGAACUAUUACUGAAGGUUUUCCCACAGAUAUCACAUUCAUAGGGCUUCUCCCCUGUGUGGAUUCUUUUGUGGACUCUCAAACCAGAACUGUUCCUGAAGGCCUUUCCACACUCACCACAUUCAUAGGGCUUCUCUCCGGUGUGGAUCCUUUUAUGCUGGUCCAGAACAGAACUAUAAUUGAAGGAUUUUCCACAUUCAUCACAUUUGCAGUUCUUCUCCCCAGAAUGGGUGCUUUUGUGGUUUAUGAGGCUAGAGUAGGACAUGUAGGCCUUGCCACACUCAUCACACUUAUAGGGCUUCUCCCCAGUAUGAAUGCGCUUAUGGACUCGAAGGCUGGAGCUGCUCCGAAAAGUUCCCCUACAGUCGUCACACUCAUAGCGCUUUUCUCCAGUGUGCAUGAUUUUAUGUUGUACAAGACGAGAAUUGUACUUGAAGGAUUUUCCACACUCAUCACACUUAUGUGAUUUCUUAUCAGCAGCAGAAUUCUGCUGUGGAGUAGGGUGUAAGCUUCCAUUAACAUUCUCUGUGUGUUCACCUUGUUCAGUACAUUUUGGUUCCGUGGGGACAGUCUGGUGCAUGGUAUCUGUACUUGAGUAGAAACUUUUCUCAGAUGUCUCGUCAUCCUGUUCUAUUUUUACAUUUGCUGUGUUCUUAGGUUUGUCAAUCUUUUCUCUGAUGCUACUUUUGUCUUCCUUCAUUAUUUUCCAUUUAGGUCUUUCCAACUGCUUCUCUACCCAACCAAAAGUGUCAUCAAUAUUAGAAUUCUGCAUAUGAUCCUUGUGAAAAAUUUCCACAUUUGGGCACUGAGAGUCUGCACUUGAAUUGUUUUCAUUCUUUUUAGCUGAGUCCUCAUCCUCCAUGCUUGUCUUCAGAUGUGACA